rnacentral:lncRNA from 1 species
UGAUGUUGUUGCCAAAAAUGCACAAACAGAAAAAAGACUGGAAAUAAAUUAUAACUGCCUGUCUAUGAAAAUAAUGCAGGAUAAAGGUUUUGGGGAAGUAUUUUCUAAAAAAAUCUAAUGGUUCAUUAGUUUUAUAUUGGUAAUCACAUUUUCCACAAACAAUCAAAAUAUUCAAGCAAACAAUCUUUACAAGGAACUAGUCAACAAAUACUUGAAAACCCACAGCAUAUUCCAAAAGCCCAUCUGAAGGUACAAAAAAAAACACCACUAAUUCAGUGGUGGACUUUUGGUACCUGGGUAACAAAACUGUAGCUGAGGGGCUAGGGUGGGGCUAUCAGAGCUACUGGUUCUUAGGAAACCUAACUGAAGAACAUGUAAGUAAAAAGCAAAAAGGAAUUAAAUUUUAUUUUUGAGGCUAGGUGGAGUGGGUGUUUUGAGAUGAAUAAAAUAUCCCACUCAGCUACUUUUCAGAAAUAGCAAUUUAAAAUUCCAGUUAAAAUUUUUAAAAUUUUAUAAUACAGUUAGAGAGGAAAGAAGAAAGAGUCUUUGAAAAACAAGCCAGGUGUGGUGGCUCACACCUGUAAUCUCAGCACUUUGGGAGGCUGAGGUGGGUGGAUCACCUGAGGUCAGGAGUUCGAGACCAGCCUGACCAAUAUGGUAAAACCCCAUCUCUACUAAAAAUACAAAAAUUAGCCAGGCAUGGUGGCAGGUUCCUGUAAUUCCAGCUGCUUGGGAGGCUGAGGCAGAAGGAUUGCCUGAACCUGGGAGGCAGAGGUUGCAGUGAGCUGAGAUGGUGCCGCUGCACUCUACCCUGCGUGACAGAGCAAAACUCUGUCUCAAAAAAACAAAAUAAAAACAAAAGAAAAAAGAAAAAAGAAAAAGGCAGUAAAGGAGGUUAUGAAUUUCUUUAGACAGAGAUAGUGUCAUCUGGCAAGAGUUGGCCAACCUAGAAGUUAGAGGGAACACAGUCCACAGGAUAAGGGCUUGCCUUUGUCUCCUGACUGUCCUCAAUGCUAACACCAAUUGCAAGGCUGGAGGGCACCCAGGACCACCCUCAAGUGCAACAAUUUGCUAGAAAGACACCCAGAACUCACUGCAAGCUGUUAAACGCACAAUUAAUAGUUUAUUAAGGGAAAGGAUAGAGAUUAGAAUCAUCCAAGGGAGGACACACACAGGAUGGAGUCUGGGGCAGUAGCAAAUGUGGAGUUUCCAUUGUCCUUUCCCCAUGGAGUCAGCAUAGGGCACCUCUACCAGAAUUGAUGUGACAGUACACAGGGAGUCCUGCCAACCAGAGAUGCUCAGCUCAUCCAGUCUCGGUGUCCAGAGUUUUUAACAGGGCUCCAUCACCUGUGCAUGACUGUAUAACCUGAAGCCCCCACCCUAAAUCACAUCGUUAAGACAAUCCAGGCAAAUAAAGACUCCUACCAGUCAUUAGAGAUUCACUUCCCAGAAGCUGAGGGCAAAGCCACACCUCUUCUGGGGCAAGGUUAAAUUUUUUACUAUACACACCCAUAUGAAAGAGAAGCUCAUACCCAUCAUAGGACAGAAAAAUAGAUAACACAGGAGCCCAGAGAGGCAGACAUGCCAGGGAAGUCUUUGGCAUUGAAACUUAAGAGCUUUAGUUUUUAAAUUUUGUUAUAAAAAUUUCCAAACAUACCAAAGUAGAAUACUAUAAUGAAUUCCCAAUACCCAUCAUCCAGGUUCAACAAUUAUCAAACUGCCUUACUUGCUUCAUCUCUCUCUCUCUUUAUUUUCUUUCGUUUUUGGACAGAGUCUCGCUCUGUCACUCAGGCUGGAGUGCAGUGGCGCAAUCUUGGCUCAUUGCAACCUGCACCUCACAGGUUCAAACGAUUCUCCUGCCUCAGCUUCCCAAGUAGCUGGGAUUACAGGUGUGCGCCACCAGUCCAGCUCAUUUUUGAGUUUUUAGUAGAGAUGAGGUUUCACCAUGUUGGCCAGGCUGGUCUCAAACUCCUGACCUUAAGGGAUCUGCCCGCCUCAGCCUCCCAAAGUGCUGGGAUUACAGGCGUGAGCCACCAUGCCUGGCCUCAUCUAUCCUUUUCUUUUUGUGCUUAGAGAACUUCAACUAUCCAUGCUAUUUCACCCCUAUAUCCUUAGUACACUUUUCUUAAAAAUAUCAACAUUUUCUUAUAUAACCUUGACACCAUUAACGAUGAUUUCUAGGUAUCUUCUAACACUCUGUCCUUACUCAAAACUUCCCCAAUUGUCUUAAAAAUACCUUUUUCAGUUGAUUUAUUCUAAUCAAGAGCUAAGUAAGGUCUACAAAUGUGAAUAUUAUAUCUCGUAAGUCUCUUUUACUCGUGUGACACUGAGGCACUUUGUGCCUUAAUAGUAUUUCAAGGUCUAAUAUAAAAAACUGGCAUAUAUAUAUAUACACACACACACUCUUCAGAGAAGAGGGAGCAAGACAAACCAAAAUGUUAAGGCCACAUUUUAGUAAACACACAGUGUAUUUAUUUAAGAAGUCAUUUGCCCAAAAUUCUUUAAAUAACGUUCGACCGUAGGCAUUUACCUGCUUAUAUAGCGCGUAGAGUUUUAGCUUCACUUCGUUUCCUGGAUCCUUUUUCAAGAGUUUCACUUGAUUCAUUGAAUUUUCAAAGUCCUUCUGACUGGCUCUCAUUGCUGUUCUAUUCAUGUGCAGCUGAACUACCGGGAAACUAGUGACCUGCAGAGAACUACAAUUAGGCAGACUGAUUUCUAUUUGUUCCCAACCCUCACAUUUCUGCAGCCUGAUUUCUAAUUGUUCCCAGCCUAUACAUAACAAAAUGCCAUGUUUGUCUAUAGAUAUUUUCUUUAUACUUGCCUCAGCAAACUGGCUGCAAAUAAUUGGCUGUAAGGAUUCCAAGAUAAUAAGUCAAUACAGAAGCUAACAGUAGUAACUUUAAAUAAAAGGAAAAGUAACCAUCCAGGGAGGUAUCUGUAAGCAACUAAAGAUAAAAGCAGCCAGAACAGGAAUGACCAUGUAAAUUUUGCCAAAGGCAAGAAGUGAAGUGCAUGCAAGACAGUGGACAGCAGGAAACCAAAAGGCUAAAGUGCACAGAAUUUAGUGAAGUGUCCCAAAGUCCUGAAACAGCCUCUGCACUCACUGAUAAGCCAUAAGCUAUAUCAGGUCAAUUCUUGCCUCUUUGCUGGCGAAGCUGGUGUUCCAACAUACACACAGGUGGAAGGAGGGGAGAAUGGAUGUGAACAUACAAGAAAUAUUCAAAAGAACACACGAGCAGUUGCUGGCAUUCCAGAUAGAGCCACAGCCUUCUCAGCAGAUGGGAGGGAAUCUACCUGCAGUGGAAGGGAGUCAGUGAAGGGGGCUCAGCAGGCGUGCCCCUUUCUAUGGGUAUGUUUAACCAGCCAGCCAGGAACAGAGCAGAAACAGCAACCACCGCGGGGGUGAUCAGCACGUUUUUAAGCACACAUAGUGAGCGGGGGUGGGGUGGCAAACUUGAAUGCACAGGACUCAGGCCACAAGCUAAAAAUGGAGUUCACGACGAUGACACUGAAUAAUAGAGUUAAUGGCAAAAAAGAUGAUUAAAAUAAUACAGGUUACAAAGCCC